GGUUGUGGCUCAGUGGUAGAGUGCUUGCCUAGCAUGCAUGAGGCCCUGGGUUUGGUCCCCAGCAUCA
rnacentral:tRNA from 1 species